GUUAAUAUAGUUUUAAAACAAACAUUAGACUGUGGCUCUAAAAAUAGG
rnacentral:tRNA from 1 species